AGCGAACGCUGGCGGCGUGCCUAACACAUGCAAGUCGAACGUGAAAGGGAGCAAUCCCAAGUAAAGUGGCGUACGGGUGAGUAACACGUAGGCAAUCUACCCCAGAAUCUGGAAUAACCGGCCGAAAGGCUGGCUAAUACUGGAUAGAGCGACGGAAUCCGUAAUUGGGUUUUUCGGGAAAGGGAGCCUGUAAAAAGGCCUUCGUUCUGGGAUGAGCCUGCGUCCCAUCAGCUAGUUGGUGAGGUAAAAGCUUACCAAGGCAAUGACGGGUAGCUGGUCUGAGAGGACGAUCAGCCACACUGGAACUGAAACACGGUCCAGACUCCUACGGGAGGCAGCAGUGGGGAAUCUUGCGCAAUGGACGAAAGUCUGACGCAGCAACGCCGCGUGAGUGAAGAAGGCCUUCGGGUUGUAAAGCUCUGUCGAGUGGGACGAAAAUGCUUGGAGUUCACAGCUCCAGGAACUGACGGUACCACUAAAGGAAGCACCGGCUAACUCCGUG
rnacentral:rRNA from 1 species